rnacentral:lncRNA from 1 species
UAACGUCCCAAACUUUUUCUGAAAUAUUUUAUAUUUGAUUUCUUUUAUUGUUACCCUAUCCUUUAAUUUUAUCAAAAUUCCUACACUACCCUUAUUCUUUUUACCAAAACCUAACCCUAAUGCCUAAAUUAAACCCACACACUCUUACUCUCACAUAAGCAUACACUCUGAAGUCUGAACAAAAGAAAUAGAGAAAAGGGGGUGAGAAAGUCACCGAGGGAAGAAGAGAAGAAGAUGACGGCACUGGCAAAGCAAAGAGAAGCCGUCGCCGCUGUCGAGUUAUAGAGGCAGAGGGAGAGACGAAUAAGGAGAGAGAUGGAUAAAGAGAAGGCAGCACCACUAUCGUCGCUGCUGGGACUCAUCGCUGGAGUUACGGUCAUCGCCGUUGAAGGGGCCGCGUCGGACGGAGACAUUGCCUUCGCUGAAGCUCACCGCUGGUAGUGUUGCUGCUGGGACGUCAGAGCUUGUAGUGUUGCUGCGGGAGUCACUCCAGAGGAGAGGAACCACCGCCACCGUUAUUCUGUUGUGUCCUUCACCGUCGACGUUGGAGAGGGUCACCGGAGUUGCUGAUGCUCCAUCCUCUUGUUUUCUUUGGUAAGAGUCAUCUUGUUCUACCUUAUCUUGCCGUAAAGCCUUAUUAUUGACUUUGUCCUACCUUGCUUAAUACCCCUUUCUGCCUUUGCUCAAUUUUAAACUACCAUAUGUAAAUUUAUUUCAAAUAUUUGUAAUUUUCUUAUUCAACUUAUAUUUGAGUCGGUUAGGCUUGCUUGGGGAUUAUUUUCCUAAGCGCCGAUCAUGGCUCAUUUUGGGCCGUGACAAAGUGGUAUCAGAGCUUUAGGUUAACCUGUGAAAUAUGGAGCAAGUGUCCUAUGGUAGGAUCACAAUUGUAUAAAUAGAAGCGCGCCUAUUUGUACAAAUUGUGACACUAUCAAAGGCCUAUAGAAAUGUCCUCUUUGUCCUUUGUCAUUGUUGUCUUCUGAUUAUUGUGAUCAUGCGUCUUCUGCCACUUCUUACUAUUCCUGUCCUUUUGUAUCUAAUCUAGACUUAACCUUUGGUAAAUUUUUUUCGAACAUAUUUUUGCAAUGGUUUCAGCUUUGGUUUCGGUUUGUGAUUUCUCUUGUAGCUAGUUCUGAUUUUUUUUCCGAUUUUGUGAAUGUUUGCUUUAAUUUUUUUUCUUUCGUCUUCGUAUGCUCUAUGAUUCCUGAGUCAAGAUAUCAUGCAUUAUUUAGAAAAUUCGAUCGAUGUUUGUUAUAAAUUGCUAUCUAAUUCUUUUAUAGAACAGUAUUUGGAUUUGUAGAUUUCAUGGAUUUGUUGAGUUUUGAUCGAAAUGCUUUGUUUUGGAUUUGAUAAGCGAUAUUGAAAUUUUUCUUCUUAUGUUGAUAAUCUUUAAAAUUAUAACAUAAUUUUGAUUUGCCUUUGAUUCUUUUUUAUAAAUCAAUAAUUUUGAAAAUUGUUAUCUAGUUGCUCAAGAAGAAGAACUAUGUGAUGAAACAUAUGAUGUUGUUUGUGUGAUUGGUGAUUUUCUUUGCUUAAGUGUAGUGAAUUAAUUGGGUGAUCAGUUCGCUAUAUCAAAAGUCUUUUCUGACCUAAGUUUGAUUGUGCUUUUCUAAUUUGAUAUUCUGGUUCCGUUAUGGUUCUUUGUUUUUGGAUAUGGUUUUUCUGUCAGGAACUAUUUUUAACUUGAUAAGUUGAGAGAAAGAUUGUGAGCAUUUGCCUUUUAGAUGGUGAUUAUAAAAUGAAUUUUGCUUUCGGCUAAGAUAUGAAACUUGAGAAUUUUCUUAACCCUUUGCUUUUUGAAAAUCAUCUUAUUCUCAACCAUUAUUUUUAUUCUUAGAUAAUUAGAAGAUUUGUUUUUCUUGGUUUGUAUUGCCCUUGUGAGAUUGGGAUUGUAGGUCUUAGAUAUUGGAAAGAAUUGCUAGCAAUUUCCGACAAAAGGACUAGAUAUCCAAUUUUUUUUAAGCUGAAUAAAUUAUUUAUAUGAGUUUUUCUCUUUAUUAUAUUCAACUAAUUAUUAUAAACUUUUUUUUUUGGAAGAUUAGUAGUUUAAGAUGUCCUUGCUCUUGUAACAAAGUUAUUGCUAAUUUUAUUAUUAGUAUUAUUGAGUAUUUACCUGAAUAUUUCCUUGCUUUGCAUCUUAAUCAUUAACCUUUAUGUCACGAUUAUGGAAGUUGAGUUCUCUUGCUCUGCACUCAUUUAAGUAUUUAAUUAUUAUAUUUCUUGACUCUUUUUGAAAUUGUUAAAAUAUUUUAGCAUUUGGCAUUUUGAUUUCUAUCAGAGUGUAUUGUAUACAUAAAACAUCACCAUUACUUUAAGCUUUUUUCCUUCCUUUUUCUUUUGAGAAAUUUCUUUUACACGGGUUUCACAUCUUCCUCCAACCAGUGAUGAUUAUUAUAUGCUCCGAUUUUUAUUUUAUUUAUUCUUGUGCAUAUUAACUUUUUAAGAGCCAUUAAUAUCAGUUGAAAACUGUUGCAAAACAGAUAUAUAUAUUUGUCUAUAUAAAAUAUGUGCCUCAGUGUAUGUAGAAUGACUGGUUCACAAUUGGCAACUUAUAGUUUAUAAUUGUUCUCCUUUUCACAUAAAAGAUAGUCAGCCUUUUUCUAUAACCAUGGUUAUACUUGCAUGUCUGUUUUCCAUUUAUUUAUAUAUAAAAAAAAACAACGAUAAAGAUAUAUAUGUAUACAUUUGAGUUUGUCUUUAACUCGUGAACUUUAAGUUCAAUUAACUAUUUAUGAAUAUGAAUUUUUUUUUGGGUGUUUUAUCUUUACAAGAAAUCUGAUUUCAUACUAAUUUUUCUAAAUUUUUUUUUUGCUACGUGUCUUGAUUAUGUUAAAAACAAAUUCAUAAUUGGAGAUGUAAAAGAAAAGGGGUAGUUAUUAUAAUUGAUCCUAGUGUGUUAAUCGCUAAUACUUUAACUUUUAAUUUAUUUAUUUUUAUUAUUAUCUUAUAUGUGAAAUUAUUUGUAACUUCAUACUAAGUCUAGCUUCAUGAUUAUAGGAAAUCGUUUAACUUUAUUUUACAACAACAAAAAAAAAAGAGUUAAAUGUACUGGUGAAUUUUGGCCUUGAGGAUAAUGAAAUGAUUGCUUAUAUUUUCGCAUGUUUUACGUUAUUUAUAUAUUAUUUAUAGUCAAAAGUUAUUAAAGUUUAUUAUGGCAUAUUUAAUAUUCAAGGUUAUGGCAAAAAUUAAUUCAAAUAGACUUUGUCAAAGAAUUUUAGAUAAAAAAAAAUGAGCAUGUUAAUUUUUGUGACAAUUACUGUUUUUAAUUUUCAUAACAGUUCAAUUGUCUUUUUAAAAGGUGCGGUCAAAUCUUCAAUUCGCUGCUUUGUUUUGCUCCUCUGUUAUUGUCUUUAUCUUGUUUGGAACUUUGAUAUACAAUUAUUGUUGGUACUUUAUUUACGUUGUAUGUUAGUUGUUGUUCAGUUUUUCUUGUCUAUAGUAUCGUUACUUCCUAUUGUUUUAUUUAACUUCAUUUGUCCUAGUGUUCUUAUUUUGGUCUAUAAAUAUUAUAAACUUUAGACCUUGUAUGUUUUUCUUCUUUGAUUUUCAAAGAUUGGCUUAUUUGAUUGUGUUUCUAUUCAUUCUCUUAAAUCUUUGUGAACAUUGUCACGGACUAUAGUAGCCAUCUCUCGUGAACUUUGCGCUUAGUUGAUUCAACUUGAACUUGUUUUGACCUAAUAUUCCAUUUUUUUUUAUUGUUUCUAUCAAAGCUCCUCGAUUCAGAUUUUCUUGUUAGGAUGUAAUUGACUCUCUUUCUGGCACACUUAACUGUUUUUAUACAUCAUUGCUUAAUUGUGAUCUUACGCAUCCUUCCAAAUUCUUGCGAACCUCAUUUGUGAUGUUGCUCUUCUCUUUCUAAGUUUUGUAUCCUUUUGAGUAAACUCGAGCUUGUUUCGGUGUCACGUGCGAUUUUCAGAUAGCAAGCGAUAUAUUAGUUCAUUAGGACAUAACUUAUUGAUGCAGAAGUUCAGAAAGUUGUAAUUCUAAGACUUGAAAUAAGACUGAUUGCUUCCAUGGAUGUAUACUACAAAACCAAGGAGAUUAUAAAGUAAGAUUGUAUUUGAGGAGAUUGACGAAGAAGUGAAGAGUGUUAUGUAUAUUUGAGUUGUCAAUGGAACGAGAGUCGGUGAAUGCCAACCGUAUCGUUUUAACACACAUCUAUCUUGAAAUUUUAACACCCGAUUAUACUUCUUUUUCAUGUUUGGUAGAAGGCUAAAACCAUGCAACAUUUUUCAUACGGUAUUAAUUUUCGAGGACGAAAAUUCUUUUAAGGGGGAUAGAAUGUAACGUCCCAAACUUUUUCUGAAAUAUUUUAUAUUUGAUUUCUUUUAUUGUUACCCUAUCCUUUAAUUUUAUCAAAAUUCCUACACUACCCUUAUUCUUUUUACCAAAACCUAACCCUAAUGCCUAAAUUAAACCCACACACUCUUACUCUCACAUAAGCAUACACUCUGAAGUCUGAACAAAAGAAAUAGAGAAAAGGGGGUGAGAAAGUCACCGAGGGAAGAAGAGAAGAAGAUGACGGCACUGGCAAAGCAAAGAGAAGCCGUCGCCGCUGUCGAGUUAUAGAGGCAGAGGGAGAGACGAAUAAGGAGAGAGAUGGAUAAAGAGAAGGCAGCACCACUAUCAUCGCUGCUGGGACUCAUCGCUGGAGUUACGGUCAUCGCCGUUGAAGGGGCCGCGUCGGACGGAGACCCGAAGCUAUCUCCGCCUUUACUCUGCUCCAUUGCGGCUGACCCCUACCUCUCCCCUGUUCGUCAGAGCUUGUAGUGUUGCUGCGGGAGUCACUCCAGAGGAGAGGAACCACCGCCACCGUUAUUCUGUUGUGUCCUUCACCGUCGACGUUGGAGAGGGUCACCGGAACUGCUAAUGCUCCAUCCCCUUGUUUUCUUUGGUAAGAGUCAUCUUGUUCUACCUUAUCUUGCCGUAAAGCCUUAUUAUUGACUCUUUCCUACCUUGCUUAAUACCCCUUUCUGCCUUUGCUCAAUUUUAAACUACCAUAGGCUGUUGGAUUUGCUGUCAUUGUUACCGUGGUUGUCCCAUGUUAUUGUUACUAGGGCUGUUGGCAUUACUGCAGUGAGAAUUGAAAUUGUUGCUACUACCCAAUCCAAAUUCUGCACUCUUUCGUACCCUUUAAUUCGGCACUCCGG